rnacentral:rRNA from 1 species
GGCGCAAGCCUGAUGCAGCCAUGCCGCGUGUGUGAAGAAGGCCUUCGGGUUGUAAAGCACUUUAAAUAGGGAGGAAGGCGGUGUCGUUAAUAGCGGCAUCGCCUGACGUUAGCGACAGAAGAAGCACCGGCUAACUCCGUGCCAGCAGCCGCGGUAAUACGGAGGGUGCGAGCGUUAAUCGGAAUUACUGGGCGUAAAGCGCAUGCAGGUGGUUUGUUAAGUCAGAUGUGAAAGCCCGGGGCUUCACCUCGGAAUUGCCUUUGAAACUGGCAGACUACAGUACUGUAGAGGGGGGUAGAAUUUCCGGUGUAGCGGUGAAAUGCGUAAAGAUCUGAAGGAACACCGGUGGCGAAGGCGGCCCCCUGGACCGAUACUGACACUCAGAUGCGAAAGCGUGGGGAGUUUACAGGAUUAGAUACCCUGGUAGUCCACGCCGUAAACGAUGUCUACUUGGAGGUUGUGGCCUUGAACCGUGGCUGUCGGAGCUAACGCGUUAAGUAGACCGCCUGG